rnacentral:tRNA from 1 species
GGGGGUAUAGUGUAAUUGGCUAACAUCUUUGUCUCCAAAACAAAGGACUCCAGGUUCGAACCCUGGUACCCCCGCCA